GACGAACGCUGGCGGCGUGCUUAACACAUGCAAGUCGAACGGAAAGGCCCUGCUUUUGUGGGGUGCUCGAGUGGCGAACGGGUGAGUAACACGUGAGUAACCUGCCCUUGACUUUGGGAUAACUUCAGGAAACUGGGGCUAAUACCGGAUAGGAGCUCCUGCUGCAUGGUGGGGGUUGGAAAGUUUCGGCGGUUGGGGAUGGACUCGCGGCUUAUCAGCUUGUUGGUGGGGUAGUGGCUUACCAAGGCUUUGACGGGUAGCCGGCCUGAGAGGGUGACCGGCCACAGUGGGACUGAGAUACGGCCCAGACUCCUACGGGAGGCAGCAGUGGGGAAUAUUGCACGAUGGGCGGAAGCCGGAUGCAGCAACUCCGCGUGCGGGAUGACGGCCUUCGGGUUGGAAACCGCUUUCGCCUGUGACGAAGCGUGUGUGACGGUAAUGGGUAAAGAAGCACCGGCUAACUACGUG
rnacentral:rRNA from 1 species